rnacentral:rRNA from 1 species
AGCGAACGCUGGCGGCAGGCCUAAUACAUGCAAGUCGAACGGCAGCACAGCAGAGCUUGCUCUGUGGGUGGCGAGUGGCGGACGGGUGAGGAAUACAUGGGAAUCUGCCCAGUCGUGGGGGAUAACGUAGGGAAACUUACGCUAAUACCGCAUGCGCCCUUCGGGGGAAAGCCGGGGACCUUCGGGCCUGGCGCGAUUGGAUGAGCCCAUGUCGGAUCAGCUAGUUGGCGGGGUAAAGGCCCACCAAGGCGACGAUCCGUAGCUGGUCUGAGAGGAUGAUCAGCCACACUGGAACUGAGACACGGUCCAGACUCCUACGGGAGGCAGCAGUAGGGAAUAUUGGACAAUGGGCGCAAGCCUGAUCCAGCCAUGCCGCGUGAGUGAAGAAGGCCCUCGGGUUGUAAAGCUCUUUUGUCCGGAAAGAAAAGCAUCCAGUUAAUACCUGGGUGUCCUGACGGUACCGGAAGAAUAAGCACCGGCUAACUUCGUGCCAGCAGCCGCCGUAA